UACGUAGGGUGCAAGCGUUGUCCGGAAUUAUUGGGCGUAAAGAGCUCGUAGGCGGUCUGUCGCGUCUGGUGUGAAAAUCCAGGGCUUAACCCUGGACCUGCAUCGGGUACGGGCAGACUAGAGUGCGGUAGGGGAGAUCGGAAUUCCUGGUGUAGCGGUGAAAUGCGCAGAUAUCAGGAGGAACACCGGUGGCGAAGGCGGAUCUCUGGGCCGUAACUGACGCUGAGGAGCGAAGGCAUGGGGAGCGAACAGG
rnacentral:rRNA from 1 species